AUACUUACCUGGUGUCGGAGUGUCGCUGGUCAAGAUGGGCGCGCUCCCAGGGCGAGGCGCGGGCAUUGCACUGCGCCCGUGUGACCCUGCCACUACCCCAAACUGGGGCAGAUGGGGCAUGCAAUUUUGGUAGUGGGGGGACUGCGUGCGCGCUUCCCCCUU
rnacentral:snRNA from 1 species